AUUCUUUUUUAAAAUUUAUUUAUUUAUUGUCUUUUUGCCUUUUCUAGGGCCGAUCCUGUGGCAUAUGGAGGUUCCCAGGCUAGGGGUCUAAUUGGAGCUAUAGCCACCGGCCUACGCCAGAGCCACAGAAACACGGGAUCCAAGCUGUGUCUGCAACCUACACCACAGCUCACAGCAACGCUGGAUCCUUAACCCACUGAGCAAGGCCAAGGAUCGAACCCUCGACCUCAUGGUUCCUAGUCAGAUUCAUUAACCACUGUGCCACAAUGGGAACUCCCUGCUUUGCAUUUUAAAGGUCUGUUUCUGCCUGAGGCUUCUCCCUGGCCGGCCAGCUUGUCUGACCAGCUCAGACCUCCUCAGGCCAGCCCCUCCUACCUCCUCGGCCUUUAGGGGAGGCUGGGGACCAGCUGCUCCAGCCCUGCCCUCCAGGCUGACCCAGGCUUCAGGGAUAGUAUUCCAAUGGGAUCCUAGGCAGGGACCUGUCAGCCCCGGGCAGCUGCGUCCCCCUAAGCUUUAUUACCCACACUGCCAGUCCUUGGGGGGUGGGGGGGCUUUGGAGACAGAGAGACAGACCCUCCCAGGCGCUUGGAAGCCAGGCACCAUGUGGUGAGAGCUGCUUAGCCAGAGUCUCAGUCCACAGCCAGCCGUGACCACCCAAUCCGGGAGUGGAAGACUUUGAGAGACCCCAGCCCCAGCCCCAGCCCCUGAGCCACCCGGCUCAGACCAACAGGAGCAGAGACAAGCGGUCUCUUCCAGGCCCUGCCAAACUGCACAUUCAAGCACACAAGAAGAGUUGUUAUUUUAAGUUGUUAGUUGGGGGGUAGUUUGUCACACAGCAAGAGAUAGCUGGGAUAGAACACCUUGAAUCCAAGCCCUGCCCUUACCAGCUAUGUGUGCUUGGGCAAGUAGCUUAACCUCUCCAAGUCUCCGUGGGGUUUUUUUUUUGGGGGGGGGGGGGUUGGUUGGUUGGUUGGCUGGUUUUGGCUGCACUUGCAGCCUGUGCAAGUUCCUGGGCCAGGGAUCAAACCUGGUCGCACAGAUAGGGAGCGGAGACGUGGAAGCCUGGCCCGAGGCCUGUGCCAUGCGUAGUGCUGGGUCCCUGUCCCAGGCCUCGAAGGAGUCCCCAGAGACCCAAGCUAGGCUGGAAGGGCUGAGGGGCUGUCUGAAGAAAGGGGUCCGUAUCCAGAGGCUCAGUGCGUCUAGGUCCAUGACCUGAGUGUAUCUGCGGAAAGGUUGGCCUCCCGGAGCCCCCGGAGCGCAGGGACCAGGGGAGCCCCUCCCACCCCAAGUCGCUCUGGGCCUUGACCACAUCCCCUCUAGGGACGUUCACAUCUCUCUCCAUCUCCUCCUCUCCCACCAAACCCAUUCUGAACCUCUCCCCGACCUCUGACCCCUCCAUCCCCCUCACCUGUCCAGAGAGGAGAAUGGUCCCUAGCUGCUGAGUUCUGGUCAGGAUCAGAGACAACUGGAGUACGCGGUAGCGCCUGUGUACUUCUAUGAGCCACACUUAAUGCAAAGUCCCUGUAGGGGACACUCCACCUGCCCUCUCCAGUGCCCAGGCAAGGUCUGGUCUGGGUGGGUGACAUGGGCCGCCACCAAGAACCCUUGGCCACCCACGGCAUGGGAUGGUGCCUGUUGCCAGGCAACAGGACUCAGCUCAGGCCCCAUGCCUUGGGGUCAGCUGCCCACCAGCUGGUGUUCUAUUUCUGGGCUGUGCUCGCUGCCUCCUGGAUGUCUCUCCUCCAUCGAGCCUGGGAGGAAGGAGGGGGCAGACUGUAUUCUGGGGGCUCCUUCAGUGGCUGUGUCCCUUGAGAGGCAGACCUGAGUGGGGGAGCUGGGGGUGAGGAAUCCCAAGCUGCCAGCAUGUUUGGGGCCCAGUGAAGGGAAGAAGCCGAGACGCAGAGCGAGUCAAUGGUGGAGUGUGGGCUCUAGAGCCCAGAUCUAUCUCCUCAUUUCUCUCCCCACUGGAGAGAUGAUGCAGACCGUCCAGAGAGGUCACGUGGCCAACCCAAGCUUGCACAGCAAGUAGGGAGCAAAGCGAGGAUUCCAGCCACACCUGUCUGUCUCAAGACAUCCUUGAUGUGCAAUGGUGGUUUGCAGGUGGGACUCCUUGGUGCCUCAGGUGUCUACCUACAGAAGUGUCUCUUGGCCUUGGAGGGGAGGUGACAGAGAAGCUGACUCACAAGGGGGACUCUUCCCCCACUUUCAUCCCCUUUAUUCGGGUCUCCCCAGGAACACAGGGAGGCUCAAAUGUUCCUGUAGAAUUGCUGACUGAUUGAGCAUCUUAAUCACAUCCGUGUAAAAACCAAGGCUCGCAGAGGAGAAGGGGCUUGCCCAAGGAGCCCAGCAAGGACGGGGGGCCAGGGCUCCCUAUCCCCCACCCAGGACUUCCAGGGUUUGGGGGCGGGAAAUGACACAGAUAGAGCACGUGAGGACUUUGCAUACACCGAACUGCAAAAUCAGAGCAGAUGCUAAAUGCACUCUUUUCACCUGCACGGGGACAUUCUCUUUCAUCUCAUCACAUCGUCUGUGCAGCACCCUGUCUGUUUGUUUCCCAUUCGUCCUGGCAUUUAGUGUCCUCAGGAAUCAUCCUGUUAUUAUCGACGCUCAUCCAGCGCCAGCCUCCCCACAGCCAGAAGGUGGGCUGAGGGGGCUGGGACGAGGUCUGUCCCCCUGAGCAACGCUCUGCUCAGUACCAGAAAUGAUGCCGCCACGUCUCCAGUGACGACAUUUGUAUCCAUCCUCUGCUUCCUAACUGAGCCCUGAUUUCCUUUUCGGGAAUUCUCUCCCCCACAUUGUAUGGAGUCCUAGUGAUUUGACAAGUCACAGGAUCAUUUCUAUAGUUCUCCUCUCCCACUACAGAAUAUAAGAAUAAUAGUUAUUACCAUAUUCAUUAUUGUACCAACUCACAUUUUUCCCACUUCACUGUACUUUAAUUUACCUUAUCAAAAUAUUUUCUGGGAGUUCCCGUUGUGGCUCAGCAGGUUAAGAACCCAACAUAGUGUCUGUGAAGAUACAGGUUCAAUUCCUGGCCUCAGUCUGUGGGUUAAGGAUCCGGUAUUGCUGCAAGCUGCAGCAUAGGUUGCGGAUACGGCUUGGACCUGGUAUUGCUGCGGCGGUGGUGAAGGUCGGCAAGCUGCAGUUCCCAUUCAGUCCCUAGCCUGGAAAUGUCCGUUUGCUGCAGGACUAACUGUAAAAAUUAAAAAAAAACCUUUUUUCAAUUAUACAUACACAUAAUUUUAGGUAUGACUUUGUGCAUUAUGAGCUCUUUGAAAACAAAGCCAGUUAACCCAGCAUCCAACUGGUAGAAAAGAAAUGUUAAAUGUAUCAUAAAUCAUGAAUAACAAAUUUUAGUAGCAAGAGUUACUCUCAAGAGUAACUUGCGAAAAGCAUUUGCUAUCCAUAAAGGAGAUUUUAUAUUUGCUGUAUUGAUUUAGACUCUGCAAGGAAAUCCCAUGAGGACAAGUGGGGCAAUAACCACUACAGGUAAAAUCCAGACCAACUAACAUGUAUUGAGCGCUUUCUGAACGGUGGGUGUUCUUCUAAGUGGUUUCUACAUAACUUCACAGCAAACCCAGAACACAGAGGCGGCUCUCAGCGCAUCUACACAGGGCCAGGGUGAACUCAGAGAUGGACUUGCUCGGGCACACGGACUGGGAUUUGAACUGAGAUGGUCUAGCUCUGGAGGCUUCACACUUUCUCACUGCCCCGGUGGGUGUCUUUUCCUCAGGCCCUGCUUCUUACCAUGUGGUAGAGCCAAGGCUGGACUUGUGACCACAUGCAGCCAAUGGGCCCUUGACUGCAGAGCCGAUGGCACAAGGAUGGAAGCGUUGGUGGAAUGGCCUCUUCUGCGGGCUGGUCCCUGAGAGUCUGGUUGCUGCCUGAUUCCAAACCUGGCUCUCCAAACUUCACUUCAAUUCUGUGAUCCCUGAUGAGCUUCCAAUAAAUUCUCCUUUUACCCAACUACCAAAGAACCUAACAGAUAGAAGACCAAGAGUGAUGUAUCAGUUACCGGUGCUGUGGAACAAAACAGCCCCCUAAAUCUAGUGGAUUAAAACAGGCAAUUAUUUCUCACAAUCCAGUGGGACUUCUGGGGAGUUCUGAUCUGAACCAGCUUGCCAGGGCUAAGAUGAUCUAGAGUGGCCUCCCUUACCUGUCCUGCCAUUGACAGGUUGGUGGGUCCAGCGCCUCGGCUGGGACCUCUCUCGUGGCCCCAUCCUCCAGGGGGCUACCUCAGCUCUUUAGAGGGUGGUCUCAGUUUCCCAAAGAGCAGCAUGUGCCUUGCAAGCCUCUGCUUGUGUUGCGCUUGCAGUUGUCCUGUUGGCCAAAGCAAGUCCCAUGGCCCUUCCUGGAGUCAAGGUGAAGGGGAAAUACCAAAGAGCAGGACGGAGGAAGGGGU
rnacentral:lncRNA from 1 species